ACUUACAUCUACAAACGCCGGGGAAUUACGAGCUACGCUUAAAACCCAAAGGAUUUGACGGUGUCCCACCCCCCUAGAGGAGCCUGUUCUAUAAUCGAUAAUACCCGCUAUACCCAACCACCUCUCGCUAUUCAGUCUGUAUACCUCCGUCGAAAGCUUACCAUGUGAACGCCUACAGUAAGUACAAUGGCUACCAACGUCAACACGUCAGGUCAAGGUGCAGCUUAAGUGGUGGAAAGUAAUUGGCUACAAUUUCUAACCUAGAACAAACGGAAGGCUAUGUGAAACCAUAGUUCUGAAGGCGGAUUUAGUAGUAAAAAGAAAAUAGAGCGUUCUUUUUAACCCGGCUCUGGGACGCGUACACACCGCCCGUCACCCUCUUCAAUAGUACCAUCACCACAGUUCAUAACCAAUCUAUACAUCUUAGAAGAGGCAAGUCGUAACAUGGUAAGUGUACUGGAAAGUGCACUUGGAAUAUAACAAAAUGUAGCUUAAUAAAGCCCCCCGCUUACACCGAGGAGUUAUCUGUUCAACCCAGAUCAUUUUGAGCCUCAAAUCUAGCCCACUCAACCCGCAUGAAGCCUCGAAACUACUGCAAAAAAUAAACCAUUUUAACACUUUAGUAUAGGUGAUAGAAAAAUUACCAAGCGCCUUAGAUAUAGUACCGUAAGGGAAACAUGAAAUAGAAAUGAAAUAAUAUUACAGCCACAAAUAGCAGAGAUACCACCUCG
rnacentral:rRNA from 1 species